rnacentral:rRNA from 1 species
UACGGAGGGUGCAAGCGUUAUCCGGAUUCACUGGGUUUAAAGGGUGCGUAGGUGGGUUGGUAAGUCAGUGGUGAAAUCCCCGAGCUUAACUUGGGAACUGCCAUUGAUACUAUCAGUCUUGAAUAUUGUGGAGGUUAGCGGAAUAUGUCAUGUAGCGGUGAAAUGCUUAGAUAUGACAUAGAACACCAAUUGCGAAGGCGGCUGGCUACGCAUAUAUUGACACUGAGGCACGAAAGCGUGGGGAUCAAACAGG